rnacentral:rRNA from 1 species
UACGAAGGGGGCUAGCGUUGUUCGGAAUUACUGGGCGUAAAGCGCGCGCAGGCGGCUAUCCAAGUCAGUGGUGAAAGCCCGGAGCUCAACUCCGGAACUGCCAUUGAAACUGUUUAGCUUGAGGAUGAGAGAGGUGAGUGGAAUUCCCAGUGUAGAGGUGAAAUUCGUAGAUAUUGGGAAGAACACCGGUGGCGAAGGCAGCUCACUGGCUCAUUACUGACGCUCAGGCGCGAUAGCGUGGGGAUCAAACAGG